rnacentral:misc_RNA from 1 species
CGGGAAUGGCUAUUUUCACUCAUGGAUGCUCCAAUUCCAGAGUUUUCUGUGAAAGGGAGGGGACCUUAAUUUUAGGUAUUUCGGCUGCUCCAGUUUUGCCUCAGAGGGCGAGAGUUUACGGUCAUUUUGCGAGAGAGAGAGGAACUAGUCAACGAUUGUCAAAAAAGGAACAACUUGAUUUCCCAAGGAAAGGAUUCUUUGCCACAAGGAAAGUUGUCCUCACAGUCCCUAGGGACAGUAGCUCUUCAAACACAAGCAGCAGCAAGGACAAUACUACAAAUCAAUCCGAGCAAACACCUUUUGGUUACACGAGGAAGGAUGUUUUAUUAAUUGGUUUAGGUGUCACAGUUCUUGGAUUUGGAUUGAAAAG